rnacentral:rRNA from 1 species
UACGGGGGGGGCAAGCGUUGUUCGGAAUUACUGGGCGUAAAGGGCUCGUAGGCGGCCAACUAAGUCAGACGUGAAAUCCCUCGGCUUAACCGGGGAACUGCGUCUGAUACUGGAUGGCUUGAGUUUGGGAGAGGGAUGCGGAAUUCCAGGUGUAGCGGUGAAAUGCGCAGAUAUCGGGAAGAACACCCGUGGCGAAGGCGGUUCUCUGGGACGGUACUGACGCUGAGGAGCGAAAGCGUGGGGAGCAAACAGG